AGCGAAUUUAUUUAACAACACACACAUAUCCGAUGGGUAAAUCGGGGUGCCAAACGGUCGGUUUACUUGGUAUGUGGAGGCUCAAC
rnacentral:sRNA from 1 species